UGGGGAAUUUUGGACAAUGGACGCAAGUCUGAUCCAGCCAUGCCGCGUGCGGGAAGAAGGCCUUCGGGUUGUAAACUGCUUUUGUACGGAACGAAACGGUCUUUUCUAAUACAGAAGGCUAAUGACGGUACCGUAAGAAUAAGCACCGGCUAACUACGUGCCAGCAGCCGCGGUAAUACGUAGGGUGCGAGCGUUAAUCGGAAUUACUGGGCGUAAAGCGUGCGCAGGCGGUUAUGUAAGACAGAUGUGAAAUCCCCGGGCUCAACCUGGGACCUGCAUUUGUGACUGCAUAGCUAGAGUACGGCAGAGGGAGAUUGAAUUCCGCGUGUAGCAGUGAAAUGCGUAGAUAUGCGGAGGAACACCGAUGGCGAAGGCAAUCCCCUGGGCCUGUACUGACGCUCAUGCACGAAAGCGUGGGGAGCAAACA
rnacentral:rRNA from 1 species